GGAGGGAUCAUUAAAGAGUUCUAUAACUCCCAAACCCAUGUGAACAUACCUAACGUUGCCUCGGCAGGUCGCACCUACCUUGUAGCACCCUACCCUGUAGGGCCUACCCGGGAGGUGCGGGUAAGCCUGCCGGCGGCCCACCAAACUCUGUUUGAUAUUGAAUUCUGAACCUAUAACUAAAUAAGUUAAAACUUUCAACAACGGAUCUCUUGGUUCUGGCAUCGAUGAAGAACGCAGCGAAAUGCGAUAAGUAAUGUGAAUUGCAGAAUUCAGUGAAUCAUCGAAUCUUUGAACGCAUAUUGCGCCCAUUAGUAUUCUAGUGGGCAGGACCGUUCGAGCGUCAUUUCAACCCUUAAGCCUUCGUUGCUUAGUGUUGGGAGCCUACGGCAACGUAGCUCCUCAAAGUUAGUGGCGGAGUUGGUUCACACUCUAGACGUAGUAAUUUUUUAUCUCGCCUAUUAGUUGGACUAAUCCCCUGCCGUAAAACCCCCAAUUUAUCAAGGUUGACCUCGAAUCGGUUCAGACAAACUCGCUAAAUUGAAGCAUCUUAGUCAGCGAAGGAAAAGAAACCAACAGGGAUUGCCCUAGUAACGGCGAGUGAA
rnacentral:rRNA from 1 species